UUUAAAUUGGUUAAGCACUUGACAAUUUGCAUCCUUACGUCCUGGACUCAAUUCUUACAAUCAGCGUUCUAUUCUUAGUCCAUGAGGACUACAUCAAGCCACUACAAUCAGCAUUUCUUGAAAACCUCGAAGAAGGCGCGAUCCAUGAGGACUACAUCAAGCCACACAAGGAAAGAAAUAAAGGAAAAGUAGGUAUGUGGUGAUGAAGCAAUUCACCCGCAAGGGGAAGAGAGAGAGAGGGUUGGGUUAAGCAACAACUUCAGCUAAUGGCUCCUCCUCAGCGUUUAAGGUGGCAAUGGGCCUCGGCUGGGCCAGCCCUGGUUCAGACCUGGUCUUUGUUCCCAAGCUGGGCCGCACCAAAAAUAAAUAAAUAAAAAAGUUGGAAAAAAAGAGGGCCGGGAUGCCUGGCCUCACACCACAUCACAAUGGACGACUAGAAAUUAUUAAACU
rnacentral:lncRNA from 1 species